AGUUCAGAGAAGGGCCACAAAGCUAAUAAGGGGACUGAGGCACGAUUAUUGCUAAUUGAAAACUUUUCCCAAUACCCCGUCAUGAUGACUUGAAAUAUAGUCAGCAUUGACAAUUUUUGACAGUCUCUCAGGAGG